GAUGAACGCUGGCGGCGUGCUUAACACAUGCAAGUCGAACGGAAGGGCCACAGCUGGCUGUGGUACUCGAGUGGCGAACGGGUGAGUAACACGUGGGUGAUCUGCCCUGUACUUCGGGAUAAGCUUGGGAAACUGAGUCUAAUCCCGUAUAGCAAUCGCAUGUCGGUGUGAGGCUGGAGAGCUUUUGCGGUAUGGGAUGAGCGCGCGGCCUAUCAGCUUGUUGUUGGGGUAAUGGUCUACGACGGCGUCGACGGGUAGCCGUCCUGAGAGUGUGUACGGGCUCAUGGGGACUGAGAUAGGGAGCAGACGGGUACAGGAGGCAGUAGUGGCGAAUAUUGCACAAUGGGAGCAAGCCUGAUGCAGAGACGCCGGGUGGGGAAUGCCGUUCUGCGGGUUGUAAAAUGCUUCAGUCAGAGACGAAGCGAAAGUGACGGUACCUAGAGAAGAAGCACCGGCUAACUACGUG
rnacentral:rRNA from 1 species